UUAGAACGGAUUACUUCGGUUUGAAGUUCUUCAUGACUGAGUGGCGGACGGGUGAGUAACGCGUGGGUAACCUGCCUUGUACUGGGGGAUAGCAGCUGGAAACGGCUGGUAAUACCGCAUAAGCGCACAAUGUUGCAUGACAUGGUGUGAAAAACUCCGGUGGUAUAAGAUGGACCCGCGUCUGAUUAGCUAGUUGGUGAGAUAACAGCCCACCAAGGCGACGAUCAGUAGCCGACCUGAGAGGGUGAUCGGCCACAUUGGGACUGAGACACGGCCCAGACUCCUACGGGAGGCAGCAGUGGGGAAUAUUGCACAAUGGAGGAAACUCUGAUGCAGCGACGCCGCGUGAGUGAAGAAGUAAUUCGUUAUGUAAAGCUCUAUCAGCAGGGAAGAUAGUGACGGUACCUGACUAAGAAGCUCCGGCUAAAUACGUGCCAGCAGCCGCGGUAAUACGUAUGGAGCAAGCGUUAUCCGGAUUUACUGGGUGUAAAGGGAGUGUAGGUGGCCAUGCAAGUCAGAAGUGAAAAUCCGGGGCUCAACCCCGGAACUGCUUUUGAAACUGUGAGGCUAGAGUGCAGGAGGGGUGAGUGGAAUUCCUAGUGUAGCGGUGAAAUGCGUAGAUAUUAGGAGGAACACCAGUGGCGAAGGCGGCUCACUGGACUGUAACUGACACUG
rnacentral:rRNA from 1 species